GUAGGCCCACUCUUGGCACGCAAGACGUAAAUUCAUAUUGUGUCAAGAUCGAACACAAGUUUAUGGCAAUUUCAAGUUAGAUUUGGCACUCCCGACAUAAAUUGGCUCACGAUCGUGUUCUAAUUCGAAUUGGUUCUAACUUGUGUUGGAUUGUGAGUCAAUUUUGACAGUUACUCUGUGAAAGAAUGAAUGAAAACGAAAAAAAAAACAAAUUGUCAUUAAAAUUCUUGUUGUCAUGGCCGGUCGGUGGAUUUUCAUAAUAAGUAACAACGUAAAAGUUUAAAAACCAAUAUUAUGAGUUCCGCAACUCGGCCGUCGUACCGCCAGACGAAAUUACUUGUAGAAUAUCUAGAAAGUUACCCAGGAAUGGCCAGGGAUCUUCUUAAGACCGACCUAGGGAAGUUAAAAUUAUGAGAAAAUAACAUC